rnacentral:rRNA from 1 species
CCUACGGGACGCACCAGUGGGGAAUAUUGCACAAUGGACGCAAGCCUGAUGCAGCCAUGCCGCGUGUAUGAAGAAGGCCUCGGGUUGUAAAGUACUUUCAGCGGGGAGGAAGGCGAUAAGGUUAAUAACCUUGUCGAUUGACGUUACCCGCAGAAGAAGCACCGGCUAACUCCGUGCCAGCAGCCGCGGUAAUACGGAGGGUGCAAGCGUUAAUCGGAAUUACUGGGCGUAAAGCGCACGCAGGCGGUCUGUCAAGUCGGAUGUGAAAUCCCCGGGCUCAACCUGGGAACUGCAUUCGAAACUGGCAGGCUAGAGUCUUGUAGAGGGGGGUAGAAUUCCAGGUGUAGCGGUGAAAUGCGUAGAGAUCUGGAGGAAUACCGGUGGCGUAGGCGGCCCCCUGGACAAAGUCUGACGCUCAGGUGCGAAAGCGUGGGGAGCAAACAGGAUUAGAUACCCCUGUAGUC